rnacentral:misc_RNA from 1 species
AUCACAAAUUCCAUAGAAAGCCAUUCACAAGAUCAUCAAAACACAAUAUCAAGUUCACUAAUGAUAAGUAUGUGCAAUGUCAUGGAAUACAAUGUCAAGUAUAAUGAUUCAUGUCUGACCUAGUGAUACACACCCGAUGUAUCUUAGUCCGGUACCCAUGGGGGACAUAUCUGUUGAUGCAUCUGUCACGGCGCACAACACAACCCUCAAUAAUAGUAAUCAUCGCGGCUUGCGAUAUGUCCCUCAGUAUAUUGUAUCCAUUGCAACACGUAAUACGUCCCUCGAAAGGACACAUCUUCUUUAAGUUCUCAUUCUUUCUCGAUCCACAUAACACUUGUCACAACCAUGUCUCAGAAUAAUGAAAAUGACAUGUUCCUUUGCCUCUUGAUUUAUCAUGCUAUCUUAGAUAUCUGAUUGUAUUUUUGAUUUUUCCAUAUGUUUUUCUUA